rnacentral:misc_RNA from 1 species
UCUCCGUUGGUGAACCAGCGGAGGGAUCAUUACUGAGUGUAAAAACUCCCAAACCCCUGUGAACAUACCAUCUGUUGCUUCGGCGGGAUCGCCCCGGGCGCCUUUGCGUGCCCCGGAUCCAGGCGCCCGCCGGAGGACUCCAAACUCAUGUUUUAUAUGUGGCAUUAUCUGAGUGGCUUAUAGCAAAAUAAAUCAAAACUUUCAACAAUGGAUCUCUUGGCUCUG